UAGAGUUUGAUCAUGGCUCAGAUUGAACGCUUGCGGCAGGCUUAACACAUGCAAGUCGAGCGGUAACAGGAAUAGCUUGCUAUUUGCUGACGAGCGGCGGACGGGUGAGUAAUGCUUGGGAAUAUGCCUUAUGGUGGGGGACAACAGUUGGAAACGACUGCUAAUACCGCAUAAUGUCUACGGACCAAAGGGGGGGAUCUUCGGACCUCUCGCCAUUUGAUUAGCCCAAGUGAGAUUAGCUAGUUGGUAAGGUAAUGGCUUACCAAGGCGACGAUCUCUAGCUGGUUUGAGAGGAUGAUCAGCCACACUGGGACUGAGACACGGCCCAGACUCCUACGGGAGGCAGCAGUGGGGAAUAUUGCACAAUGGGGGAAACCCUGAUGCAGCCAUGCCGCGUGUGUGAAGAAGGCCUUCGGGUUGUAAAGCACUUUCAGUUGUGAGGAAAGGUGUGUAGUUAAUAGCUGCAUACUAUGACGUUAACAACAGAAGAAGCACCGGCUAACUUCGCGCCAGCAGCCGCGGUAAUACGAGGGGUGCAAGCGUUAAUCGGAAUUACUGGGCGUAAAGCGUUCGUAGGCGGUUGAAUAAGCAAGAUGUGAAAGCCCAGGGCUCAACCUUGGAACUGCAUUUUGAACUGUUCGACUAGAGUACUGUAGAGGGGAGUAGAAUUUCA
rnacentral:rRNA from 1 species